AGACAAUUAGGAUUAGGAUUAGGAUUAGGAUGCAGGGAACCAAGCUCUCAAAUAUUGGUCUAUCUGUGUCUUGUUCCUUACUAUUUCCUAUAUAAUUGAAAGAACUAUUUAAGUUGAAAACCACAAUAUUAGCUGAUGUAAAGCAUUUGGCAUGUUGUUUUUUCUAACUCUGCCAAUUGGUGGCCCCUGCUAAUAAUUUAGAAAAAAGGAUAUGUUUACUUUGAUUCAAACAAUUUGGACUUUCUUAAUAUUAAUCUCUAAACCUGUGAAAAUUGGUGUGGCUGUGCUGGUUCCUGGAUGUGUGCUGAACACAUUACAAUUUUUUUAGCCUGGAACUUGUUUUCAUUUCAGAGUUCAGAUCUUAUGUAGUAAAUGAUGUUUACUUAAACUUAGCAGCAAUGGGAAAGAUGUACAAGAAGAAACAAGAUGAGAAACAUGAACCUUGAAGAGGAGGAUUUGGGGAAAAGAUUGAUGGUGGUGGUAGCAGCAGCAGUAAAAAACCAGUUGGAAAACACAAACCUGAGGAGACAGGGAUUUGAAAUUAAGUGAAGGCUGAUUUGGAAAUGGCAUACUUGAUGUGAAGCAUUUGUUGAAGUCAACACCUACAAGCAGAGGUCAUUAUACUCUCCUAAACACAUGUUUUAGAGAAAUAAGUAUCUUAGAUUGCAUGAAAUAUGUCUGACUGUGCCAACUUCAUUAUAGAGGUGAGAUUGACUACCACCAAGCGAGACUGAGGGAGUGAAAUCAUGUGAGCAAUGAUUUUUUUUGUCGAUGGGGGAAAUCAAAACAAUGGCAGACUAGAGAAAUUGCACACGAGAACAUGAUUUAGG